rnacentral:rRNA from 1 species
CCUACGGGCGGCAGCAGUGGGGAAUAUUGGACAAUGGGGGCAACCCUGAUCCAGCCAUGCCGCGUGUGUGAAGAAGGCCCUCGGGUUGUAAAGCACUUUCAGUGAGGAAGAACGCCUGGUGGUUAAUACCCAUCAGGAAAGACAUCACUCACAGAAGAAGCACCGGCUAACUCCGUGCCAGCAGCCGCGGUAAUACGGAGGGUGCGAGCGUUAAUCGGAAUUACUGGGCGUAAAGCGCGCGUAGGUGGCUUGAUAAGCCGGUUGUGAAAGCCCCGGGCUCAACCUGGGAACGGCAUCCGGAACUGUCAAGCUAGAGUGCAGGAGAGGAAGGUAGAAUUCCCGGUGUAGCGGUGAAAUGCGUAGAGAUCGGGAGGAAUACCAGUGGCGAAGGCGGCCUUCUGGACUGACACUGACACUGAGGUGCGAAAGCGUGGGUAGCAAACAGGAUUAGAUACCCUAGUAGUC